GUUAGACUAUAAAUGAAAUGUGACUCCAUACAGUAUGGUCCUCAUAAGAAUGAAUACUGGAGCCAGUUAAACUUGAGCUUAAAUAAAAGUUGCAUUAUAACCGGCUAUAUGAUGUUGGAGAAUUCAAUUAACUUCUCUAUGCUCAUUUACUUCCUCUGUAAAAUGGGGAUGGUCUUAUGAUAUAGGUUAUUAUGAAGAAAGAAAUGAAAAUAUAUGUAAAGCACUUAGCUUGGUAUUUUAUUGAGAAAUAAAUGGUUUAUGAAGAAAAUUCACUGUCAGAUAUAGGAUUCUAGAGAGUCAGGGUUGGCACCACAAGUAGAAUUUACUUUGUGCUGACAUGUGUAUUAGGAACUGGUAAAACAGAAAAAAACAGUAUGUAAAGCAGUGAUUAAGUUUGGUUUAGGAGUUAGUGCUGGGCUUGAAACCCUAUUUGCUAUACUAACAAGCUUUGUAACCUUGGGUUAGUUUAUUUAACUUUGUUAAGCUGUUCAUCUCUAAAAUUGUACAAUAAUUCCUGUUCAGAGGUUUGGUGUGAGGUUGCAUUAAAUGAAGGGAUCCAUGUAAUACAGUUAGCUAAGUUUCUGGCAGUCAGUGUGUACUCCAAAGUAUUAGCUUUUAUUCUGGGGCAGUUUCAUGCUCUUGAGGAUUUUAAUCAUCCCUGCAGUUGUUUAAUUUAUAAAUAUGAGAAAACAAGCUUGAUGAUUUGUCUGGCUGGCCAGUGGUAAUAGUUGUCUUCAUCCUAGAUCUUUUGAGUCAAAAUUUUCUAUACUGUUUCCUGUCUAAUUCCCUUCAGCCCCCACCCUGUGGGAAAGACAGUGCUAAAGUUUAAACUGCUCAUAUAAUUUUAUAUUUGCACAGACUUGCACUCAAAAUUAAUCCACAGCUAAAAUUAAACUCAUGGAAACUCCUAGGCAAGGUUGCAAUUACACAAAAAAUAUGGCAAACUGAAAGAUCACAAUACCAGAACACAUUUCUAGAAUAAUUGAGGAUAUGUCAAGCUUAAAUAUUGAGAGAAUUUUUAAAAGAAAAUGGAAGAUACCUUUCUGCAAAUAUAAAGCAUAGAGAAGUGGCAGGAGAAGGACAUGAAAGAAAAUUUUCGUUGUUGACUUAAUUUAUGGAGAAUUCACAAUCACUUCAUGGGAAAUAAAUAUGAUCUCUUCUUUUUUCAUUAAUACAUGUUCAUGGCCAGGCAUGUAGCUCAGUGGUGCCACACCUGCCUGGCAAGUGCAAGGUCCUGAGUUCAAUCCCUGGAACUGAAAAAAAAUCUGUUCUUUUUACUAGUUACAGAAGUCUUUUGCUAUUUAAAACGUUAAAAAAAUUUAAUAUUUAUGUUUAUCAAUGAGGAUGUUUGUGUUUAUCAACUGAGGGUGAAAUAUUUCCUUGAACAAGAAACAAAUUAAUGUAAGAUAUCCAUUGUUAGAUACCUAACAGAAUUGGUUCCUGGUUUUGAAUUUUAGACCCUGGGGUGAUGAAUCAAUACUUAGCAUCAUAUUCAGAGUUAUUUUAGCCUUGAAAGUAUAGUGGUGUAGCUCAUGUCUUUUGCACAAAUGAACAAAGUACAAAAUCAAGCAGUAAUGGCUUUAAUCUAGUCAACCUAGGUUAGGGUCAUUCAUACUCUACUUGGUCUAGGUGAGCCCUUCUAGUUUUUGCAUUUAAUCCAGGCCAAAAGGCAUAGAGUUCCAACAAGACUGAUGCAACUGUCUUGCUUCUUCCUCUAUCACUGGGUGUUCUGAUUCUGAUUCAAUUCUUGUUUAGUUCCCGCCAUAGGAAUGAGUAUCUCUUACCAUUUACAUUGUGUCCAAGGAGCUGCGUCAAGGCAGUACUUUUAAUAUUCAGAUGUGGAUAUGAACUGAAAGGCAUUUAGAGAAAAAGAUAAAUUUUUGUGAUGGCCUGGAUAUUUAUAAUGAAAAAGGAUGAGUGUCCUCCCAGUUUUUAUUUACUCUCAAGUAACUGAGAAAAACUUGCUACUAUCCACAGAAUGAGGAAUGUGGGAGAAAAAGCACAUUUACAGAAAAAGGAAAAGUGAAUGUGUUGCUUUUGGGCACGUUACUCCUGAGACUCUUUUGGAUAAAGGCCCCGUUGUCUAUGGAUAAGAAUUUCUGGGAAAAAUUUGGACUUCUGAUUUCCCUGGAGGUGUCAUCAAGUUGUGAUUGCCAGUAGAUGCCAUGGGAAUGGACGAAAAUGUAAUGGAAGAACCAGACUGGUGAGGGAGUAUGUUAAGGAAUAAUGGAUUUUAGUGUGUAAAAUGGAAGAAGUGUCAGCAAAAAGAGAGAACAGAAAGCAAAUGUCAGAUAAUGUAUUAGAAAACUUUAAUUAAUUUCAACAGUAGAGGUGUGCAUUAAUGUAGUAAUUGAAAAUUCAGGAAAUAACCUUGAUUCAUAAAAUAAUUUCAUGUGACAAUAUAAGGGAAUUAGGAAAAUUUGAGGAACCUGGAAAAAAUAAUUUGAACUCAUACUUUAUAUGGUAAAGGUAGGUAUAUAUGUAAGUAGACAGAUGAAAUAAAUAUAAAGGCCAAAGAAAAUCUAGACUAUAACUUACCAAGUUUUGAUUAGAGUUGAGUAGCCUUAUUAAAUUUUUGAGAGGUUGCCACUUUCCUACAUGCUAUUUGGAAAAAUACAUUCAGAUUCAACUACAUAAACAUUUCAAACAGUUAGGCAAUUAAGACUAAGAUAAACCGAGCAAAAUAGAAAUCAACAAAAUUUGGAAGACCGAAAUGUUUAUGUAAAAUGAGAGCCAAAGGAUUUACAUUAAAUUAUCCUAGCAAAUAUUUAAAGUUCAUAGAAUAAUUGGCAAAAGAUACCAAGAAAUAAUUAAUAAAAGAGAGGCACAGUUAUAAAUACACAUGUGGAAGAUUUCCACCUCAUUAGCUAUGAAACAUAUGGAAGAGAGUUUAACCUCUUGAUUUAUCCAG
ensembl:lncRNA